AAAAAAAGAAGCAAUGGUCUCAUAUCAUAUAAUAAGAAUUUGGUUAUAUAUGAAUCUGCAAAUCCUGUUAGUGGAAGAGAUGGUACAGAGACUGAUGAGUUGAUGGAGAUGUAACUGAAUCAACGAGGAAUGAUUUUAAGUGCUUAGCAAACUCCUUGGCCUUCUCUAAGUUUACUGCAUGCCCAGCAUUCUUAAUUAUCACUAAUUCUGCACUUUCUCCCACAUGCCUUUGUAAUCUGUGCCCUAGUUCCAGAGGGAAUAUUUGAUCUUGCUCUCCCCAAACUAUUAACGUUGGCUGGGUGAUCCUUGGUAGCUUAGAAAGCUUUCGACCCUUGAGUAUAGCCUGAAUUAGCUCUCUCUUCUCCUCAGCAAAGUCCGUGCACAUAACAUUAAUGUAAUCUGCAAGAAAGAAAGAGGGGACUCCUCUGGUUGGCUUCACAAAAGAAAAUUUCAUCAACUCUCUUAAUUUCUCUGGUGUCUGUGGCAAUAAAAUGCUGGCUGCUUCAUCCAAAUUUGAUACCUUAAACAAACCAUUUUCCAUAUCCUUUUCUUCCAAGCAAACCCCAGCACAACACAGCACAAUCUUCUCUACAGCCUCAGGAAACUGUGCUGCCAAGCUAUAUCCAACAAAUCCUCCAUAGCUGACCCCUACAAGGCUCAUUCUAUGCACCCCUUGUGACUCCAUUAGCCUCAUCAGACACUGAGCUUGGAAAGAUUCAUGCCUUUCAGGCCUCGACGUGUAGGACUCGCCGAAGAAGAGGAGGUCCGGCACGUAGACGUUGAAACGAUCAAUGAAGUGACGGAGAUGCUCACCGUAUUGCCACAUUGCAUUGGCACCAA
rnacentral:misc_RNA from 1 species